UACGUAGGGUGCAAGCGUUGUCCGGAAUUAUUGGGCGUAAAGAGCUUGUAGGCGGUUUGUCGCGUCUGCUGUGAAAUUUCGGGGCUCAACCCCGAACUUGCAGUGGGUACGGGCAGACUAGAGUGUGGUAGGGGAGACGUGGAAGUUCCUGGUGGUAGCGGUGAAAUGCGCAGAUAUCGGGAGGAACACCAGCGGCGAAGGGCGGCACUC
rnacentral:rRNA from 1 species